GCAGGCGUAGUUUCAACCAAAACAUUAGACUGUGAUUCUAAAAAUAGAAGUUAAAAUCUUCUCACUUGCC
rnacentral:tRNA from 1 species